rnacentral:rRNA from 1 species
ACAGCUAUCCAAGGCAUUUAUUAGAUCAAAACCAACUACUGUAGUGUGGCCGAAAGCUGCACUGUGGUGAGGUGAAUCUAGAUAACUUUGCAGAUCGUAUGGCCUUGUGCCGGCGACGUUUCAAUUGAAUUUCUGCCCUAUCAACUUGUUGGUAAGGUAGUGGCUUACCAAGGUUACAACGGGUAACGGGGAAUCAGGGUUCGAUUCCGGAGAGGGAGCCUGAGAAAUGGCUACCACAUCCAAGGGAGGCAGCAGGCGCGCAAAUUACCCAAUCCAGAAUCUGGGAGGUGGUGACGAGAAAUACUAGAUGGUUUCCUUUUAGGAUGCCAUACUGGAAUGGACGUUAUCUAGAAAAUUCGAUGAGUAACAACUGGAGGGCAAGUCUGGUGCCAGCAGCCGCGGUAAUUCCAGCUCCAGUAGUGUAUACUAAAGUUGCUGCGUUUAAAACGCUCGUAGUUGGAUUACGCAGCAUGAGCUAGUCGAUCGGCGAAGCAGUACACUAAAUCUGGUGGGCCGUGUAUGAUCCGUGGAAAUCCCGGAGGAGUAUGCGGUCGAUCAGAGUGCUGCGCGUCGAUUAACAGCUAGCUCAUGCUACUUUUACGUGAGAAUGGUGAUUGACCUUGAGUGAGUUGAUCAUUGUGUCUUACGAGGUGUGCCUUGAAUAAAUCAGAGUGCUCAAAGCAGGCAAUAGCUUGAAUGUUAAUAGCAUGGAACGAACAGUUGUGUUUUAUGUGCCCUGAGUUGUGGCAUACGUGGGCUCUUGUCUGCGUAUGUUGCGAUUUGGGGUGCUGCACCAACCGCCAAUGACGGAUGUUGGUUUCCGUAUUGGGGUGAUGAUUAAAAGGAGCGGUUGGGGGCAUUGGUAUUUGGCCGCGAGAGGUGAAAUUCUUGGACCGGCCAAGGACUAACAAAUGCGAAGGCAUCUGUCAAGACCGUUUCCAUUAAUCAAGAACGAUAGUGAGGGGUUCGAAGACGAUCAGAUACCGUCCUAGUCCUCACCAUAAACUAUGCCGACCCGGGAUCAGUUUUGAGCUUUCAUACGCUCGUGGUUGGUCCCCCUGGGAAACCUCAAGUUUUUAGGUUACGGGGGGAGUAUGGUUGCAAGGCUGAAACUUAAAGGAAUUGACGGAAGGGCACCACCAGGGGUGGAGCCUGCGGCUUAAUUUGACUCAACACGGGAAAACUCACCUGGUCCGGACAUCGAUGGGAUAGACAGACUAAUAGGUCUUUCUUGAUACGGUGGUUGGUGGUGCAUGGCCGUUCUUAGUUCGUGGAGUGAUCUGUCAGGUUGAUUCCGGUAACGGACGAGAACAUAGUUUUCAUUUAAGGAGUUGGAGAAAGAUGCAGUCCAGUGCUAGUAGGCAACUAUGAAUCCUGGGCUGUGUCUAUAGGCAGUAUGCGUGUGCUGUUGUGCUUGGCGGUGUUAUUGUUGAGUAUGUAAGUACGAGGCGAUAGCAUUUCUAAGUGCAGCAGUUAGCGUAUAUUCCCUCCAACCUGACAUUGUACGGUGCAAGCUGUACAAUGUGCUAUGAAAAGACAACCAAGCAUAAAAACAGAGGAUGGGGGAAGC